rnacentral:rRNA from 1 species
GAUGAACGCUGGCGGCGUGCUUAACACAUGCAAGUCGAACGGACGGAUGGGAGCUUGCUCCUUGAAGUUAGUGGCGGACGGGUGAGUAACGCGUGGGUAACCUGCCCUAUGCAGGGGGAUAACGUUUGGAAACGAACGCUAAUACCGCAUAAACUAUAGGAUGUCGCAUGACAUCUAUAGUAAAGAUUUAUCGGCAUAGGAUGGACCCGCGUUGGAUUAGCUAGUUGGUGAGAUAAUAGCCCACCAAGGCGACGAUCCAUAGCCGGCCUGAGAGGGUGAACGGCCACAUUGGGACUGAGACACGGCCCAAAACUCCUACGGGAGGCUG